rnacentral:rRNA from 1 species
UGAAUAUAGGACGUCCAACUUAACUUGGAGUCCGAACUCUCACUUUCUAACCCUGUGCACUUGUUUGGGAUAGUAACUCUCGCAAGAGAGCGAACUCCUAUUCACUUAUAAACACAAAGUCUAUGAAUGUAUUAAAUUUUAUAACAAAAUAAAACUUUCAACAACGGAUCUCUUGGCUCUCGCAUCGAUGAAGAACGCAGCGAAAUGCGAUAAGUAAUGUGAAUUGCAGAAUUCAGUGAAUCAUCGAAUCUUUGAACGCACCUUGCGCUCCAUGGUAUUCCGUGGAGCAUGCCUGUUUGAGUGUCAUGAAUACUUCAACCCUCCUCUUUCUUAAUGAUUGAAGAGGUGUUUGGUUUCUGAGCGCUGCUGGCCUUUACGGUCUAGCUCGUUCGUAAUGCAUUAGCAUCCGCAAUCGAACUUCGGAUUGACUUGGCGUAAUAGACUAUUCGCUGAGGAAUUCUAGUCUUCGGAUUAGAGCCGGGUUGGGUUAAAGGAAGCUUCUAAUCAGAAUGUCUACAUUUUAAGAUUAGAUCUCAAAUCAGGUAGGACUACCCGCUGAACUUAAGCAUAUCAAUAAGCGGAGGAAAAGAAACUAACAAGGAUUCCCCUAGUAGCGGCGAGCGAAGCGGGAAGAGCUCAAAUUUAUAAUCUGGCACCUUCGGUGUCCGAGUUGUAAUCUCUAGAAAUGUUUUCCGCGUUGGACCGCACACAAGUCUGUUGGAAUACAGCGGCAUAGUGGUGAGACCCCCGUAUAUGGUGCGGACGCCCAGCGCUUUGUGAUACAUUUUCGAAGAGUCGAGUUGUUUGGGAAUGCAGCUCAAAUUGGGUGGUAAAUUCCAUCUAAAGCUAAAUAUUGGCGAGAGACCGAUAGCGAACAAGUACCGUGAGGGAAAGAUGAAAAGCACUUUGGAAAGAGAGUUAACAGUACGUGAAAUUGUUGGAAGGGAAACGCUUGAAGUCAGACUUGCUUGCCGAGCAAUCGGUUUGCAGGCCAGCAUCAGUUUUCCGGGAUGGAUAAUGGUAGAGAGAAGGUAGCAGUUUCGGCUGUGUUAUAGCUCUCUGCUGGAUACAUCUUGGGGGACUGAGGAACGCAGUGUGCCUUUGGCGGGGGUUUCGACCUCUUC